rnacentral:misc_RNA from 1 species
UCUGCUGCCGCCAACGCCGUCU